rnacentral:rRNA from 1 species
AACUCUGAGCGGUGGAUCACUCGGCUCGUGCGUCGAUGAAGAGCGCAGCCAACUGCGUGAAUUAGUGUGAAUUGCAGGAUAUCUUGAACAUCGACAUCUCUGAAACGAACGCAUAUUGCGGCCUCAGGUCUCCCCUGUGGCCACGCCUGGCCGAGGGUCG